UACGAAGGGGGCUAGCGUUGCUCGGAAUCACUGGGCGUAAAGGGCGCGUAGGCGGCUGAUUUAGUCGAGGGUGAAAGCCCGUGGCUCAACCACGGAAUGGCCUUCGAUACUGGUUGGCUUGAGACCGGAAGAGGACAGCGGAACUGCGAGUGUAGAGGUGAAAUUCGUAGAUAUUCGCAAGAACACCAGUGGCGAAGGCGGCUGUCUGGUCCGGUUCUGACGCUGAGGCGCGAAAGCGUGGGGAG
rnacentral:rRNA from 1 species